CCCAAACUGAUAAGAACUCAUGAAUAAAUGCAAAAAAACACUGUCACAUCAUUAAUCUGUCAAAUAUUUGACUGUUGGCUCACAACAUGACCGCAUUGAACCCACAAACAUACUUUAAGGGUCAAAAUAGGUAAACUGAUACUUUAGUGGGAAGUUGAGAGUUCACCCAUAGAUACUUGAAGGAUGAGUUAGUUAUUUUGUUCUAUUUUGUUCUUAGAGAUUAAU
rnacentral:pre_miRNA from 1 species